GACGAACGCUGGCGGCGUGCUUAACACAUGCAAGUCGAACGAUGAAGCCCAGCUUGCUGGGUGGAUUAGUGGCGAACGGGUGAGUAACACGUGGGCAACCUGCCCCAAACUCUGGGAUAACUCCUCGAAAGAGGUGCUAAUACCGGAUACGAACUAGACAGACAUCUGUACUAGUUGGAAAGUUUUUCGGUUUGGGAUGGGCCCGCGGCCUAUCAGCUUGUUGGUGAGGUAACGGCUCACCAAGGCUACGACGGGUAACCGGCCUGAGAGGGCGACCGGUCACACUGGGACUGAGCCACGGCCCAGACUCCUGCGGGAGGCAGCAGUGGGGAAUAGUGCGCAAUGGGCGGAAGCCUGACGCAGCGACGCCGCGUGGGGGAUGAAGGUCUUCGGAUCGUAAACCUCUUUCAGUAGGGACGAAGCGAAAGUGACGGUACCUAAAGAAGAAGCACCGGCUAACUACGUGCCAGCCGCCGCAGUAA
rnacentral:rRNA from 1 species